rnacentral:rRNA from 1 species
UACGUAGGGUGCGAGCGUUGUCCGGAAUUACUGGGCGUAAAGAGCUCGUAGGUGGUUUGUCGCGUUGUUCGUGAAAACCGGGGGCUUAACCCUCGGCGUGCGGGCGAUACGGGCAGACUUGAGUACUGCAGGGGAGACUGGAAUUCCUGGUGUAGCGGUGGAAUGCGUAGAUAUCGAGAGGAACACCUGCGGCGAAGGCGGGUUGCUGGGCUGACACUGACGCUGAUGCGCGAAAGCGUGGGGAGCAAACAGG